CAGUCGCCGCGGGAAUACGAAGGGGGCUAGCGUUGUUCGGAUUUACUGGGCGUAAAGGGCGCGUAGGCGGACUGAUAAGUCAGAGGUGAAAUCCCAAGGCUCAACCUUGGAACUGCCUUUGAUACUGUUUGUCUUGAGUUCGAGAGAGGUAAGUGGAACUGCGAGUGUAGAGGUGAAAUUCGUAGAUAUUCGCAAGAACACCAGUGGCGAAGGCGGCUUACUGGCUCGAAACUGACGCUGAGGCGCGAAAGCGUGGGGAGCAAACAGGAUUAGAUACCCCUGUAGUCCCUGUCUCUUAUAC
rnacentral:rRNA from 1 species